ACGUAGGAGGCGAGCGUUAUCCGGAUUUACUGGGUGUAAAGCGCGUGCAGGCGGUUCUGCAAGUGGGACGUGAAAGCGCCCGGCUCAACCGGGCGAGGACGUACCGAACUGCGGGACUAGAGGCAGGUAGAGGCAAGUGGAAUUCCGGGUGUAGUGGUGAAAUGCGUAGAGAUCCGGAGGAACCCCGGUGGCGAAGGCGACUUGCUGGGCCUGAACUGACGCUCAGACGCGAAAGCAUGGGGAGCGAACGG
rnacentral:rRNA from 1 species